ensembl:rRNA 5S_rRNA 5S ribosomal RNA
GUCUACGGCCAUACCUCCCUGAACGGGCGAUCUCCUCUGAUCUCGGAAGCUAAGCAGGGUCAGGCCUGGUUAGUACUUGGAUGGGAGGAGACCACCCCUCAUUCCUUGGUCCCAUACACC